CACAUCCAGUGCUCAGUGUCUAAUUGUGUGUUUGUGUUUUUACCUUUUUGCAGUAGCGUAGUGAAACAUUUGGGCGGUGGAUAAAUAAUGGAAAAUAAAAUUCAGACUACAGACGGCUUCAGGUUUCCAUACAUCGGAAACAGCUGCUGCAUCUGUAAUUCUGUUCAUCCUGAGGAGAGUCCACACUCUACAUCAGAUCCUUGGCUCGCCUAUAAUGACGCACAGGUGCUGCACACAACUGGAUCUGCAGCUUGUGAGGAACAGCAGCACUCAGCCUACAUCCUGUUUUACAAGAGAAACACACCCUUCAGUUUCAUCAUGUCAUCCCUAACAAUAGCUGUAGAGUUGGAUGGAGGAUGAAGACAGCAGAGAGCAAAAGAAACAGUUGAACUUUUGCAAAGCUGAGGAGAUUUUGGCUGCGAUCACAUCAAGUCCAAAGAUGUUUAAACUUCUUUUUCACAGAAAGAAAUCACACAAACAAAACGUGGCAGAGAAGGAAAUUCCUUCUACGUCUCAUCAGAGCAUCCCGGAUGCUUGUGUUGCUGAAAAUGGUCAAAAGAAGAAGAGAAAAUGGAGACACCUCUGCUGUUCCUCGCAAACUGACAGCGAUGCAGAGGCAGAGAGCAACACUGUGAAGACACAAAAAAAGUGUCGCUGGUUUCUUUUUAAAUUCUGGAAGAAAUUACACAAACAAAACGUGGCAGAGAAGGAAAUUCCUUCUACGUCUCAUCAGAGUGUAGCAUGCGGUGGGAAAAAAAUAGAAAGUCAAACUGGGACUAUAGACUGCUUCGGGUUUCCAAACAUCGGAAACACCUGCUACAUGAACUCCUGCCUGCAGAGCCUCCUCAACAUUGAGGAGUUCAUAAGAGACAUCAGGCGUCAGGGGGUUUUGUGGAGCACAGAUCCAGAAGCUCAGCUCUUAAGAAGGCUAUUGAUGUCAGGGACUGUCAUGAGUCAACAGAUUAUGGCCUUAAAGAUCACCACCUAAGAGCUUUUAAGAAGGCAUUCAGCAAUCAAGCUCCUGAAUACACCGGCAGUGCACAGAAAGACGCUCAUGAAUUCCUAACAUUGUUCCUCGAUGAGGUCAAAAGGCUCCACCUCACCUGGAGAGGAACGCAGCUCUCCUGGGCCAAAGUUAUACCUGCCCAGUAGAAGAGCAUCACAUUUUUAAAAUGGAAAACAUGAGGACAUGCAAGAGCUGUGGUCACCAAUCAUCACAGCACGAGGACUUCACCAGCUUGUCUCUUGACCUUGUUCCAGAGGGGUCUAUUAUAAACAUGUUAGAGACAUACUUGAAG